rnacentral:rRNA from 1 species
UGAACGCUAGCGGCAGGCUUAACACAUGCAAGUCGAGGGGCAGCGGGAUGUAGCAAUACAUUGCCGGCGACCGGCGGAUGGGUGCGUAACGCGUAUGCAACCUACCUAUACAGGGGAAUAACCUUUCGAAAGGGAGACUAACACCCCAUGGUAUUGAUUUAAGGCAUCUUAGAUUAAUUAAAUAUUUAUAGGUAUAAGAUGGGCAUGCGUAUGAUUAGCUAGUUGGUAAGGUAACGGCUUACCAAGGCGACGAUCAUUAGGGGUUCUGAGAGGAAGGUCCCCCACACUGGUACUGAGACACGGACCAGACUCCUACGGGAGGCAGCAGUGAGGAAUAUUGGUCAAUGGGCGCAAGCCUGAACCAGCCAUGCCGCGUGCAGGAAAGACGGCCUUAUGGGUUGUAAACUGCUUUUACAUAAGACUAACCGUAUAUUUGCGAAUAUACCUGAAUGUAUUAUGAGAAUAAGGAUCGGCUAACUCCGUGCCAGCCGCUGC